GCCAGGCAUGGUGGUGCAGGCCUGUAAUCCCAGCAACUUGGGAGGCUGAGGCGGGAGGAUCGAGAUUUCAAAGCCAGCCUCAG
rnacentral:sRNA from 1 species